rnacentral:lncRNA from 1 species
UUUGAUUCCGGAAAGAUUUUGAAGUGAGUUGGAAAAAUUAGUUCCAUUAUUGGAAGCUUAAGUACCUCCAGUAUCACAAAAAAAGUAAUAUUGACCACGGAAAAAAUGACUUAAAAGUAUUCUUAGAAAAGGUCAAAUCCUGAACACAACCUUGAGGGAUGCAAAGGCACGCAUCAAUGAAAUGGUAGUGCACCAAAUGCAUCAAUGAAAUGGUAUUUUACAUUUUCCUUUAUCUUCUAUAAGUUUCAUUAGUAAUUACAUUUAAACAGCCUUAAUUACCUAAUGUGUGAUCAAAGAGAAAUCUUCCAUUCUAAAAAAUCACCAAUGUUCUAUUCAAAUUCACAGGGCAAUAAUAGAGACAGUGCCUGCCUCUUUCUUGAGUAACUGAAAAGAUGCCCAAAGUAACCUCAACCUUGGACCCUCGGCAAGAGCAUAUAAAUUUGAAGGCUGUCUUCUAUGGUUUUGUUCAAAUUCAACAGGUGCAACACCAAAGUCCAAUUCUUCUUUUGCAGAAGACAGAGAACUCAGGAGUUUUCCUUUCACGGUUUUGUUCGAAUUCAGCAGGUGCAGCACCAAAGUCCAAUUCUUCUUUUGCAGAAGACAGAGAACUCAGGAGUUUUCCUUUCACUACAUCCCAGGCAAAUUUUGUGUUAAUGUCAUUGU